rnacentral:rRNA from 1 species
UACGUAGGGGGCAAGCGUUGUCCGGAUUUAUUGGGCGUAAAGAGCGUGUAGGCGGCCAGGUAGGUCCGUUGUGAAAACUCGAGGCUCAACCUCGAGACGCCGAUGGAAACCAUCUGGCUAGAGUCCGGAAGAGGAGAGUGGAAUUCCUGGUGUAGCGGUGAAAUGCGGCAGAUAUCAGGAAGAACACCCGUGGCUAAGGCGGCUCUCUAGUACGGUACUGACGCUGAGACGCGAAAGCGUGGGGAGCGAACAGG